ACGAACGCUGGCGGCAUGCCUAACACAUGCAAGUCGAACGAUGCCUUCGGGCAUAGUGGCGCACGGGUGCGUAACGCGUGGGAAUCUGCCUUUCGGUUCGGAAUAACUCAGGGAAACUUGAGCUAAUACCGGAUAACGUCGCAAGACCAAAGAUUUAUCACCGAAAGAUGAGCCCGCGUAGGAUUAGCUAGUUGGUGAGGUAAAGGCUCACCAAGGCGACGAUCCUUAGCUGGUCUGAGAGGAUGAUCAGCCACACUGGGACUGAGACACGGCCCAGACUCCUACGGGAAGCAGCAGUGGGGAAUAUUGGACAAUGGGCGAAAGCCUGAUCCAGCAAUGCCGCGUGAGUGAUGAAGGCCUUAGGGUUGUAAAGCUCUUUUACCCGGGAAGAUAAUGACGGUACCGGGAGAAUAAGCCCCGGCUAACUCCGUG
rnacentral:rRNA from 1 species